CACCUUGGCCUCCCAAAUAGCUGGGACUACAGGUGCCCACCACCACGCUUGGCUUAUUUUUUUUGUAUUUUUAGGAGAGACGGGGUUUCACCGCAUUAGCGAAGAUGGUCUCGAUCUCCUGACCUCGUGAUCCACCCGCCUCGGCCUCCCAAAGUUCUGGGAUUACAGGCUUGAGCCACUGCGCCCGGCCUAGAACCCUGCUUCUCAUAUAAGAUGGGCCUGCACCUACCUCUGGCAUGUUUUUCUUUGUGUAUUUCCUGUUUUUCAUCCUGUAACUAAUGCUCAUUAUUUAAAACACUCCAGUUACUUUUCCCUUUAGGCCUGGCAAACUUUUCUUUUUCUUUUUUUUUUUUAUAACUGUACAUUUUACAAAACACCUGAAAGGACCCAGAGGCAUAAAUAGUAUUACAUGAUUUAUGGUAGCUCUGGGGUGAGCUGUGGGGGAGGCCAGUUACAAGGUCUCCAAGACCCGCCUCCAUGUCAGUGUUGGGGGGUGCCUUGAGCACUUCUUUUAUUUCAUAUAGGAAAAUGCACAUCUUUCAUUUGUCUCCCAAAAGAUGAUUUCCAUAAAAAUAUACUUCAAAGUAUUUACUGUACAUAGACUUCAAUGAUUUUAUUUCCAGCAUCAAACUAAACAUUUCUAACCUUUUAAAUAAAUGGGGAAUUUAGUUUCAUGAGAAUUUUUACUGACAACUAAUAAACACUGUAUGUGUACAUAUUCAUAUACACUGUGGACUGGAGAAAGUCAGUAUGGAAAUAAAUUUCACUGAGAUCCAGAAAGUAGCAAUAUAGGACUUUUAGGGGUAUGUAUUAGUGUAAAUAAUAUAUGUGCAGUCUAGGCUAAUCAUUUUAAUUAAAAACAAAUAAGCAUACUUUUUUGCUUUAAAAAUAUGCCCUCAAAAUGGUGGGGGAUAAAAUGUAAGAUAUUCUUUAGCUUUAAUUAUUUUUCCAUCUUAUUCAAGUCAGAGCACUUUUUUUUAAAUAGCAAUACAACAGGCAAGAGAAUACUCAAAAAUAUUUAAAACUGUAUUGAUACCAAGAGUAUGUUUUAAAUAUUUUCUAAUAAAUACUUGAGCGGUUUUUGUCUGGCAGGCUUCCAAAUUUGCCAAAAUUAAGCGUUCAGUAUUUUCAACACAUACGCUUUUUACUGGUUUAUACUGAACUAUCUGAUGAGAAUUCCUGUGUUCCCAAAGCAACUGAUGUUUACAGGUCUUGUGUUACUCCUCCUCCUUUCUAAGGAUGAGGGAAUCCACAACAGACUUUCUCUAGAAAACACUAAUGAUGGACAACUUUUUGGUGUCAUCAAUGAGUUGGCUACUACCUUGAUGUAAAAAUUUGUAAGGAAAAUUUUCACCAUUUCGAGUGUCAAGUGUAUUUUUAACUGUCUGGUUUGUACUUUUAUGACUUUUGUACUACCAAAGCGGAGUUAAAAAUAAAAAUGUUAAACGCAGUGUGUUGUCUUGUGGGUGAUCCAAUUAUUGGCGCCUUGUACACUGGAAAUACAGUCGUGGCAGUAUAAUUAUUGAGCUUAAUUUUUUACAGUGC
rnacentral:lncRNA from 10 species